UACGAAGGGGCUAGCGUUGCUCGGAAUCACUGGGCGUAAAGCGCACGUAGGCGGAUCUUUAAGUCAGAGGUGAAAUCCCAAGGCUCAACCUUGGAACUGCCUUUGAUACUGGGGAUCUUGAGUCCGGGAGAGGUGAGUGGAACUGCGAGUGUAGAGGUGAAAUUCGUAGAUAUUCGCAAGAACACCAGUGGCGAAGGCGGCUCACUGGCCCGGUACUGACGCUGAGGUGCGAAAGCGUGGGGAGCAAACAGGGAU
rnacentral:rRNA from 1 species